GUGCUCGCUUCGGCAGCACAUAUACUAAAAUUGGAACAAUACAGAGAAGAUUAACAUGGCCCUUGCGCAAGGAUGACAUGCAAAUCAUGAAGCGUUCCAUAUUUUU
ensembl:snRNA U6 U6 spliceosomal RNA